rnacentral:misc_RNA from 1 species
UCUCCGUAGGUGAGUAGAUCGACGCCUUCCGCACCCUCCUCGAACGACACGUGCUAACCGCUUACCAGGUGAACCUGCGGAGGGAUCAUUACCGAGCGCCCGGGGCCCCUUUGGGGGCUCCCGCCUCACAUCCCGUGCCCGAACACCUCUCCUGCCUCGGCGGGCGCCCCUGCGGCCCCGCCGGAAGAGGCCACCCAAACCCGCGUCGAAGUUGCCGUCAGAGGGUUUAAAGACCAACCAUGAAA